AACGAACGCUGGCGGCAGGCUUAACACAUGCAAGUCGAACGCCCCGCCAGGGGAGUGGCAGACGGGUGAGUAACGCGUGGGAACAUACCCUUUUCUACGGAAUAGCUCUGGGAAACUGGAAUUAAUACCGUAUACGCCCUACGGGGGAAAGAUUUAUCGGGGAAGGAUUGGCCCGCGUUGGUUUAGCUAGUUGGUGGGGUAAAGGCCUACCAAGGCGACGAUCCAUAGCUGGUCUGAGAGGAUGAUCAGCCACAUUGGGACUGAGACACGGCCCAAACUCCUACGGGAGGCAGCAGUGGGGAAUAUUGGACAAUGGGCGCAAGCCUGAUCCAGCCAUGCCGCGUGAGUGAUGAAGGCCUUAGGGUUGUAAAGCUCUUUCACCGAUGAAGAUAAUGACGGUAGUCGGAGAAGAAGCCCCGGCUAACUUCGUG
rnacentral:rRNA from 1 species